AGUGAACGCUGGCGGUAGGCCUAACACAUGCAAGUCGAACGGCAGCACAGUAAGAGCUUGCUCUUACGGGUGGCGAGUGGCGGACGGGUGAGGAAUACAUCGGAAUCUACUUUUUCGUGGGGGAGAACGUAGGGAAACUUACGCUAAUACCGCAUACGACCUACGGGUGAAAGCAGGGGAUCUUCGGACCUUGCGCGAUUGAAUGAGCCGAUGUCGGAUUAGCUAGUUGGCGGGGUAAAGGCCCACCAAGGCGACGAUCCGUAGCUGGUCUGAGAGGAUGAUCAGACACACUGGAACUGAGACGCGGUCCAGACUCCUACGGGAGGCAGCAGUGGGGAAUAUUGGACAAUGGGCGCAAGCCUGAUCCAGCCAUACCGCGUGGGUGAAGAAGGCCUUCGGGUUGUAAAGCCCUUUUGUUGGGAAAGAAAAGCAGCAGGUUAAUACCCCGCUGUUCUGACGGUACCCAAAGAAUAAGCACCGGCUAACUUCGUG
rnacentral:rRNA from 1 species